AAAAGACAGUGCGACUUAUUCUGAACGGCCGGAGCGAUGCUACUAAAGGAAUAUUUUUUUGUUGUCAAAUCCAAAAGCUAAACCACGAAUCUGCCGAACCGUCGUUUGUUUACCCGGUUCGGUGAUUCGAUUGAACCGGCUGCAAAAAAAAAAAAAAACCGCGUCUCCUGUUACCAUGGUUUCUCAUCGCGAGGUCUUGCAAUACGCUCAAUACAGAGUCUUGAAGAGGUGGGAUUAUUGGUAGCAGGUUCACCAAUGGAGUUUGUGUUUUGAUAGUUUUUGAAGCAAUAGGGACGAGGGGAGGAUUGCGUGCCCCUGGAGUUUGUAACGCACGUGUUUUGCAAGAGUUGUCGGAAAUGAGUGUCCUGGAGCACGUUGAGUUGCUGUGGUUGUGAACCUGCAGCAUCUCUUUUGGCCACAAUGAGGAAGAGUAAAAUAACCACCCCAGAAUCAGAGAUUGUGGAAAUUAAGAGUGCAAAAAAACAAAAGAUGAAGAAGAGAGUCGCUGAAGAAAUGGAGCAGAAGUCGUGUGAGAAGAAGAAGUAGGGUGAGCAUGAACGCAGGAAGAAGAAGAAGAACAAGGUCGAGGGUGCAGGAGCGCAGGCACCAGCUUGACUGUGUUGACUUUGUACAGGCUACAGACUUCCUGCCCUUGUGAGACUGGGCCAGUGUUGAUCCAGAGAUACAGUAAAAGUUUAAAGAAUGAAUCCAUUCUAAGAUGCUGUUGUUUCCCUCUGAUGUCUUGCACCCUGCUGUGGUAAGGAAACGCAGCUGUAUAAACAGCGUCUGUUGCAGCGGAGCAUCGGAAGCAAUGUCUUCUCUUAUUCUGUUGUUGUUAAAAGCUGUCGUCUCGGUUGCUACCUGCAAUGGAGGACUUGCAUUCAAACAGGAAAAAGUCAUGAACGGGGAGAACCUUGUACAGGCUCUGGCUCUUAGCCUAUCAGGUCCCUUAUUGAUCUACACUGGUGACAGCAUUGGCUGAGCAUUUACUGUAAUGCACAGGUACAAAAGCUCCCUAUUGAAAUACAUUCUCGCCGCUCUUUGAGCGUUUUGAACGGUGCUGAUUUAGGAAGCGGAACUGGGAUCGGGAAAGCAGCACCUUGAAUCUGUAGUGUGGGGAAAAAUAUCCCCAAAUAGUUUAAAAAUUAAUAAAGCUCUUAAGACGUAACGAUAAAAGAUGACCAGUAAUACUUUUGCUGAUGCCAAUUGAUUUUUAAAUCCUCGGAAGUAUCAUCCUUAAAAAAAAUAAAAUAGGCAUUUGAAUGUUUUCCCACAUUGAAGAUAAGCAGUGUGGUCAGCCCCCAAAACCCCCCCAGGGAAUGAAGUGGAAUACAGACUCUUUACGGCAUGCCAUGAUGUGCUUGACAUUUUCUUCAGUGCCUUCGGAAAUUAUUUGAAUAAUGCAAGGAGCACAUUUCCCAGGAUGGGACAUCACAGCUGGGAAAACAGCUGAGGUUCCCAGAUGCAGACCCUCAGAGUCCCACUGUUUUGUGCACAAACAUGCACAGCACAGGUCGCCAAGAGAUGCGGGCUUCAAAGCACCGCAGGCUUUAAUUUACACAUCAUUACCUUGUACACCAAAACCUGGAGGUGGUUCGAUCAACAUAAACAAGUUAAUAUGUGAUUUGUAAUUGAGGAUCUAGCAUCAGCCAGUGGGCACAAGAACCUCAUUCCCCAUUGCUUCCACCUUGGGUAGAAGCACGGCAGCAUACCAGAAGUCUUUGGUAGAGCGCUCCUGCAACUGAGCCCAGGGUUUAAAUCCUAUUUAAAUCCUUGCCUAUUUAAAGUGAAGCUGUAGACACAACCUGUGAUUUGAUCCUGUAUGGCUGCCAUGCACCAAGACUCUUUCACUACCAAGGAGUUUAUCUUCUUGUUUUUUUUUUUUUAUUAUUAUUGUCAUCUUUUUUUUGUGUGUGAUAGUGGAGUGCAUAAUUGCAGUUCUAUUGCUUACUGCUUGCACGAUCUUUGUAACUAUGUAAUUAAUGUGAGGCAAAACAAUAUGAAUAUAUGUGUUGAUUCGUAAUCCUGCUGCCUAGAUUAUGCAUUGGGCUGUUUUCGAAUCCUUUCCUGGUACCGUUGUUUGUCUGGACUGGACUGGACAGGCAAGCAGUGCAGAUUUGCAGCUGAUGGACAGGACUGCAAAGUGCUGCUAACUGAUUCAUUGAAUCAAGUUUUUAUUUUUGAUAAGCAAGGCAAGUUAGUAGUGCAGUCAUCAGAGGUCACAUUAACGCAGAAUUUUGCAUCCCAGACGCAAAAUAAGCCUAUUAGACUGAAAAAUAUUUUGUCUUGUGUUCACAAUGGAAAGGGACGCAGACAUGCAUAUUCAUGGUAAUCUGUUACACUGCAGCAAAAUUAUCUUAAAAUACUUUCUUGUUUAAAAAAAUAAAAAAAAUAAAAAAAAACCUUUUCUGCAAUAUAACAGCAUUGAUUUAAGGUACACUCCAGUUUUGUGGGUGGCUACAACAGAGGUCCAUAUUGCUAAGAAAUUAAACAAGUAUUCUGGAAAAAGUAAAUACUGACACACACACACACAC